rnacentral:sRNA from 1 species
UGUAAUAACACACACGAAUCGGCACGUGCGCCGGGGUGCUCUUAUGCGUUUAGACGCAGCUAUAGAGUCGGUAGCAUGGGAUUCGUGGAGGCAUAAC